rnacentral:rRNA from 1 species
UAGGGAAUCUUCCACAAUGGGCGAAAGCCUGAUGGAGCAACGCCGCGUGUGUGAUGAAGGGUUUCGGCUCGUAAAACACUGUUGUAAGAGAAGAAUGACAUUGAGAGUAACUGUUCAAUGUGUGACGGUAUCUUACCAGAAAGGAACGGCUAAAUACGUACCAC